UACGUAGGGGGCGAGCGUUGUCCGGAUUUAUUGGGCGUAAAGAGCUCGUAGGCGGUUCGGUAAGUCGGAUGUGAAAUCUCCACGCUCAACGUGGAGGCGCCACGUGAGACUGCUGUGACUCGAGUCCGGUAGGGGAGCGUGGAAUUCCCGGUGUAGCGGUGAAAUGCGUAGAUAUCAGGAGGAACACCGAUGGCGAAGGCAGUUCUCUGGGCCGUAACUGACGCUGAGGAGCGAAAGCGUGGGGAGCGAACAGG
rnacentral:rRNA from 1 species